UACGAAGGGGGCUAGCGUUGUUCGGAAUUACUGGGCGUAAAGGGCGCGUAGGCGGCGUGGCCAGUUAGAAGUGAAAGCCUCGGGCUCAACCUGAGAAUUGCUUUUGAUACUGCCAUGCUAGAGUUCGGGAGAGGUGAGUGGAAUUCCCAGUGUAGAGGUGAAAUUCGUAGAUAUUGGGAAGAACACCAGUGGCGAAGGCGGCUCACUGGACCGACACUGACGCUGAGGCGCGAAAGCGUGGGGAGCAAACAGG
rnacentral:rRNA from 1 species